rnacentral:rRNA from 1 species
UACGGGGGGGGCAAGCGUUGUUCGGAAUUACUGGGCGUAAAGGGCUCGUAGGCGGCCAACUAAGUCAGACGUGAAAUCCCCCGGCUCAACUGGGGAACUGCACAGGAAACUAGCGGGCUUGAGUUCGGGAGAGGGAAGCGGAAUUCCGGGUGUAGCGGUGAAAUGCGCAGAUAUCAGGAGGAACACCGGUGGCGAAGGCGGUUCUCUGGGCAUGUCCUGACGCUGAGGAGCGAAAGUGUGGGGAGCGAACAGG